GACGAACGCUGGCGGCGUGCUUAACACAUGCAAGUCGAACGAUGAAGCCGGAGCUUGCUCUGGUGAAUUAGUGGCGAACGGGUGAGUAACACGUGAGUAACCUGCCCUUGACUCUGGGAUAACUGCGGGAAACUGUAGCUAAUACCGGAUACGACCCUCGGAGGCAUCUCCUGGGGGUGGAAAGAAUUUCGGUCAAGGAUGGACUCGCGGCCUAUCAGCUAGUUGGUGAGGUAAAGGCUCACCAAGGCGACGACGGGUAGCCGGCCUGAGAGGGUGACCGGCCGCAAUGGGACUGCGACACGGCCCAGACUCCAACGGGAGGCAGCAGGGGGGAAUAUUGCACAAUGGGCGCAAGCCUGAUGCAGCAGCGCCGCGUGAGGGAUGACGGCCUUCGGGUUGUAAACCUCUUUUAGCAGGGAAGAAGCGAAAGUGACGGUACCUGCAGAAAAAGCACCGGCUAACUACGUGCCAGCCGCCGCGGUAA
rnacentral:rRNA from 1 species